UUGUAUUCAGUGUGUUAACUUUCCUAUCCCCGAUCACACACAAAUGAGAGAUAUAUUAUACCUUACCUGAUAGCAUCUUUUAUACACAUUGCGCCCGAUGAAGUUUGCUGUUGACAGCCUGAAAUAAACUAAAUCAGUUGUAUCCAGAACGUGAACCUCAAUAGUACUUUUAUUGAAAGAAGAUCUUUUUAGCUGACGACGAGGUUAAAAGUGAAAGUUAAGUUUGCGUGCAAAAGUGAAGUGGUUCUGGAGAAGCUGUGCAAGGCGUUCAAUUGGGCAGAUUUCGGCCAAUUCUGGAGGUUUCCUUUGCCGGUCUCAAGUGACGCUACCAGGAGGAUUGAGCGGAAGUGCUUUUGAGCAGCUCAGGCAAGGAAGAUUGUGUUCCCAGGUUGAAAGCUUUCCCUGGUAUAGGCCGUCGACGAGUAAUUCGAGGCAUAAUAAGAAGUGGUUGCUGUUGUUGCGGAAUUGGAAGUUGUUGCUGUUGCUGGGCAGUUGGAAGUUGCUGUGACUGGAGAUCGUUUAGAGGUGGCUGUUGCUGGAUUCGGUGGCUUUUUGGGAUUCGCUCUUGGAUUAGCUAGACUUGCCGGUGGUGACGUUGAGGAAACGGAAUCGGACUGGUGCUACUUGGCGAGAUCAUUGCUGGUGUGCGAACAGAUUGCCAUCGGAGCACAUCUUCUCACGGCCCACAGGGGGCAGAUAAAGCUCAUCAAGAAGACUGAAAGGAGACGAAAUGUCACGUUCCAGGUCGGUGACAGUAUCACGAAUAGACGGGGAGAGAAAAGGCGAUAUACUGCGUCGGAUGAUGAAGAACCAUUCGAUGGUUUCGAGUUGUCGAAUGAACCCCCACCAGCUAGGAGUGAACUCCAUCCAGAGGCAUUGCAAGAGAUCGUGGAAACCAAAAACGCAUCGAAUUACCAACCAGUUGGAGCUCGAAAAUCGACUAGGAAGAAGAAGAGGGCAGAGCAUGAAGAUUUCCUGUACUAUUAAGCUACAUCAGUGUGAAUUUCAAGUGCCAUCGAAUAUUACGAUUGAUUAAGCGAAUUCAAGUAAAAAUACAUUUGUAAGGACAAGUUGAAUUCUUUGUAAGUUCUAGUUAAGUGAUGAUUACUAACUAAAAAGGGAAGGAAUUGUAUUGUAUUCAGUGUGUUAACUUUCCUAUCCCCGAUCACACACAAAUGAGAGAUAUAUUAUACCUUACCUGAUAGCAUCUUUUAUACACAUUGCGCCCGAUGAAGUUUGCUGUUGACAGCCUGAAAUAAACUAAAUCAGUUGUAUCCAGAACGUGAA